GGGAAGCUUUUUCUUCUCUUUUUACCUGCUGCUUUCCAUAUGAUUCUACCAUGUGGACUAGUAUACGACGAUUAAAAACCUUCUCCGGUUUAAUUGUGUAAACUCUCUCUGUCUCUACAUGGUUUGAAAAUAAACUUGUUUAAACGUCUAUGGUUUUUCUCUUUGGGAAUAUGCUGAAGUACUAUGGAAUUACACAAUGCUUUUUGUUUUUGUUUUUUAAAUCGAUCAAUGUGUAAAUCGUACUUGAUGAGAAAAAGACAUUGUACACUAUCUAAGUUAAAUGAAGUGCUUUUUAUAUAUGAAUUUAACAUUUUUUUAGUUCAACAUCAGCUUUUCAUUAUCUAAAUAUUAAUCCAGGAUUAUAAUUUCAAGAGAUUUUAAACCCAACAUACAGUCGACAAGAUCUAGUAAUGCCUAGGAACAUUGAACCGGAUCCUAUAUUACCCAAUCUAUUCAUCGAUGUAUUUUUCACUCCAAUGACACGAGUUCUUCCCACAAUCUGAAAAAAUCCAUCUCUUGACCCCUACUUAGACCACAUGAACUAAAACCAGAAUCUAACUAAAGUACAAGCGAUUGAUCUCUACAAAAUUUGACUUCAAUCCUUGUACUUCAUCGCCAAACAACGCAUUUUGGAGUUAUCCUAUAUGAAUUUAACAUUUUAUAUAAAAAUCAAACCAGGUAACUAGUUUUAUAAAGAUUUUAGUUUUACUACUAAAAAUUAGAAAAUGAUAUUUUGAUCAGUAUGAAAAUAUAUUGAUUAAUAGUUUCAUAUCGUCGCUAUUAUUCUGGUUAAUUAUACUAGAGUCUUUGUCCGCGCUACGCGCGGAAAAUGCUUUUAAAUAUUUUAAUUUUAGAUGAUAAUCUAUGAAUAUCUCAAAUUUCAUUGUUUAUUUUAAUUAAGAUUUUAUUAUAUGUUGUACACGGGUUUUUCCAGUUUGUGAAUUAAUUGAUGAGGAUAGAUUUUAGCGGAAGAAUUAAUUUGAGACGUAAUAUAAAAAGUUAUUAAGACAGGAAUUAAAAAUAGAAAGAUGUUUGGAGAGUUUUUUGUUUCUCUAUAGCUUUGAUUUGUCUUGAUGGUUUUAUUCCGAUGAGUAGGUUAAGUUCGUCUUGAGUUCAUCUUUUGGUUAACUUGUAUCGUCUUUUGAAGUGCUUGAUUCGUUUGAUUGAGGAGUCAAAGUAAUAUCUUGUAGCUAGUGAUGAAGAGAAUUGUAGUUUACCUGCAGUAGUAAACUUGAAAUUAAUAUAAAGUAAAAAUUAAUUUAAUAAAUUAAAUAAUAGUAAAACUGCCGCAUAUAUUGGGUCCUUGCAGUUUACACUAAAAAAUUUAAAAACAGGUAGAAAAUAGGAAGCGGCACCUGUUCAUCAAGAAUUAGAAGCUCACGUUCGAUGAUCAUGCAAUUUCAGAUGGACUACAUCGCAUAAUCUGGGGACGGUAUAUUUCUCCAUGUGAUUCAUCACAAAAAGAAAUAGGAGAAACAGAGAUAAGGUUCUAUGAUUUUACCAUUGUAUAUACAGAGGAAUUUGACGAUUGAUAGAUUCAUCAAUGGACAUGCGUUUGGUUUUAGGUUACUGUAAAAGUGGUGAUUAUAUAUUAUGAAGCUCAAACGCUAUAUUAAAGGAGAAGAUGGGAAAUAAGGAUGACGUUCUGGUUUUCUUUGCCAGCAAAGUAGACACCGAAGGAAGAUAUUGUUGGUAUGAUGCUUGUGACGAUAAGAACUUGAAAUUUCCUAUUUUUCUUGGCUUGUAGGGACCUAAAGUCUGCGGCUUGGUUGUCCCACAGCAUGAGCUUAACCAUUGUGGGGCUAAAAUGGAAUUUUAAGUAUGAUUAGGUGAUGAUUUAAUUUUAAAAAAAAGUAUUUUUUUGGUUGAGAUUGCCUGUUUAGCAAUAGGCCUAUUAUGAGUUUUGAUUUGGUUUCUGGAUUUGUGGUUUUAGGUCUUGCAUCAACCAUAUCUGGCGGACGACAUCUAGCCAUUGUUUAUCAGUUUAGUUUCGUUAUAUUUACAAUUUUUGGAGAUAAGAAUGCAAGUGGUAUGAAUGAUUUACCUGGUAGGUAGGUCUUGUCAGUGGCCAAAUGUAGGAGGUGGUUGUAAUUUUGAGGAGAGAAGUUGUGAACAGGAAUGUUCAGAUUGAGUUCCUCAAGUUUUGUCGUUGUGGUUCGCUUGGUGAGCUGUAUGAAAUAUGAUUGAGUUCCUCAAGUUUUAUUUUAUGUUAUUAUUAUUCUUUACAAAUAUUAGUUGUCCUAUGAUAGUAAAAUAAGGUUCCUACAGAAAUUUUGGUAGGACCAGAAAUUCUGAAAAUUGCAUAAAUAUCUCCUUCUUUCAAAAUGUGUUUGUUAUCUGGCGAAUUAUCUGUUUGAAGUCUACCUUCGUAUAAGUUCCCAUGCAUGUGUAUGAAAUUGUUAGUGAAGAUAUAUAGGGAUAAAUAUUAAUAUUUUGAGUAUGAAGCAGACUUGGUGAUCUAAGCAUAUAAAGCCGGUGGACAUCUGGUUUGUCUGAUGUUUUUUGUUGUGCCAGAUACGACUUAUACGAACUGAGAUAGGUGUCAUUGAGAAGCCUUCCUGGAGAGAUUGAUUUUCUUGUGCAAUGGGAUGCGGGGGACGUGUUAUUGACCUGUGAAAAAAAGAAGUGUGAUUUAAAUAUAUUUAUUGGUGUUAUUGUUCAUUGUUUAUCUAGGUGAGCUAGAGUUGUUGAGAGAACGUAUGAAGAGAUCUGUUGUUUACCUUGCUUGGUGUGGGGAUAUGUUGUCUAUAGUUGUUGUUUGCUUGUGAUUUUUUUGUUGUCCGUCAGUCUGAAUGCUUUUCGAAUUCAUUGUUUGCUUGUGUGGAAUUCUGAGAUGAAGUGAAGAGCCUUUGUGUAUUGGGGUUUAAGUUUGUGCUGGUGAUUUUUCUGUCUAGAAAAAUGGUAUUGUUAUAGUGAUUUCAUUGGUGUUAAUUUGAGAAAAUGGUUUGUGUUUGCGAAUUUAAUGUCCUAAUUUUAGGUGAUUGACUUAAGUUUGAACGCAAUUUUUUCAGUUUCAAGAAUUUAGUGGUUCAUAUAAGGAAAUCUGAUUGAAUAAGAGGAAUUUAAGAAUGAGAUUAAGAUGAUAUACCGUUAUGAAAUAAAGAAUUGAAAUCUCAUUACAAUUGAACAAAAACAGAAAAAAAAGAAGUUGAAAUCGUGGUGAAUUGUGAGAAAAUGGCGAUAUGGGAUAUUUAGGUUUCAGGUUGAUAUUGGGGAAGAUGAAGAAGAGGCUAUGUUUGUAAAUACGUACUCAGUAAAGAAAAAAAUGAAAAAGAAGUAAAAAAGCACAUACGACUCGAACCUGCGACCUAGGAGUCAUUGUAGCACCUCACUAACCAUUAGACUACGCUUCACCAACUUGUUUUGUUUACGGAUAUUAUAUAUUUAUCUUUUGAUUGGUUAGUUGUAUUAUGUUGCCGAAAUCUAUUUGAUUCGAAGUAGCUGUCUUUUUUAUUUGAGUCACAGAUUGAAUUUAAAGUUUCAACUUUUUCGUAAGUUGAGAUGAAUCUAAUUCAUAUUUGCUCCUUUCUGAUAUUUAGGGAUUUGGUUGUUGUGAGGAAUUCGUCAUUCCCUUUGUUUCUUCGAGGCAACAAUUUGGUUUUUGGUAUUUUUUUAGGUUUAUCAGUUUCCAGAUUUGUAUAACUGAUUUGGUUUUCAUGUUUUCACCAUUGAUCGAUUAAGUUUUAGAUAUCAGCUGUAUCAAUGCGUUUCUUGGAUCUUGAACUGUUGUAUUUUAUGACAGCUAUCUCUCUUUGUUCGGUGGUAAGAGUAUAGCUGGUUUAGGAUCUAUUUGGUUUCAGGUUUAUAGACCUACCCGUCUUCGGAUUUCAGACUUUCUGUUAUCAAACAUAAUCUUUGAUAUUUGUGCUUGGUGAAACAAUUGUGAUUCAGAGUUGUCACGAUUGGGCAAAUAAAAAUUCGGAUGAAGCCCACACGGCAUACGCAGAACUCCACUUUGGACGAAGCCCACAUUGUUAGGCAUGUCUGAUGUGUCCAAUUAAAUGUUCCUGAUUGGUCUGAAUUAUUGUACCUACGUGGACAUGUUCUCUACUCAGUAUAUUGUGCUUUUAGUAGUGUAAGAUA